UACGAAGGGGGCGAGCGUUGUUCGGAUUUACUGGGCGUAAAGGGCGCGCAGGCGGCUCAUUUUGUCAGGCGUGAAAGCCCCGGGCUUAACCUGGGAACUGCGUUUGAUACGGAUGGGCUAGAGUUCGGGAGAGGAGAGUGGAAUUCCCAGUGUAGAGGUGAAAUUCGUAGAUAUUGGGAAGAACACCGGUGGCGAAGGCGGCUCUCUGGACCGAGACUGACGCUGAGGAGCGAAAGCGUGGGGAGCGAACAGGA
rnacentral:rRNA from 1 species